GGACUACUAGGGUAUCUAAUCCUGUUUGCUCCCCACGCUUUCGUGCCUCAGUGUCAGUUGCAGUCCAGGAAGCCGCCUUCGCCACUGAUGUUCCUUCCGAUAUCUACGCAUUUCACCGCUACACCGGAAAUUCCACUUCCCUCUCCUGCACUCUAGCUGACCAGUAUCAAAUGCAAUUCCUAGGUUAAGCCCAGGGCUUUCACAUCUGACUUAAUCAACCACCUACGCACCCUUUACGCCCAGUAAUUCCGAUUAACGCUCGCACCCUCUGUAUUACCGCGGCUGCUGGCAC
rnacentral:rRNA from 1 species